CGGGGGGCGGGGCCCAGCGGCCUCAGGCGCACCCCCCGGGCCGGGGCGGGCUCGGAGCGCCGGCCGGCGGGGGGAAGGGGGAGCCGGGCCCGGCGAGCUACGUGCGGCUGCUGGAGAUCACUGAGCAUUGGGAUGGCGAAGGAGUAACUCGGGGAGGUACAGCUCUCUUAUGCCAGUUCCACAGCCAGUUGGAACCGCCAUGUGCCCCUGUGCUGCGCACAACAGACUUGGAGAGCUUCACAGCUGUGGCUGGGGCAAAAUCCCCAUCAACUGCACCAAAGCACAGGGCCCUGAUGCCUGAGCUGACGGAAAGAAAAGGAGUACUUGUGGCACCUUAGAGACUAACCAAUUUAUUUGAGCAUAAGCUUUCGUGAGCUACAGAGAAUCUCUGCUAUCUGUUAGCAGUGCAGGGCCCAUGACAGCCAGGGGAACUACGAGAGGUACAUGCAUAUACACACCAGCUUGUUCAUUACACACUUGCCUAUAAAGACAAAGUUUGCCUCAGAACCAGCUGUUCAGAUCUUGCUUCUGACAUCUCUGUAAGAAAUCUCUGUAUACCAAGUGCUUCCAUCCCAUAACUUCCAGUCUUUGCUUGGGCUUGUCUGAGAUGGUUGUGACAUUGUAUAUAAAGAAAAAUGACCAUGUUUACACUACGGUAUCACCACUGGUGCACAAUUGUGAUCAGUCUUAUACAAGUAUGCCUUGUAAGGUAUCGAUGAAAAUGUUAUGAGGUGCUAAGUAUUAUUUUCCUAUUUAAAUCCCUGUGUCAUCAUGGUCUCUGAAGUUAUGAAGAUUUGCUAUGUGUUUGUAUCUCAAAUGUAUUGUGUUCCUGGAUAUCACCCACAAGACAGAUUUGCAUCAAGGCUAGUCAGCCAUGUGUUGAUGGCCCAUAAGGAGAAUAAACUCUUCAGUGAGCCCUCCUGAGGACGUCUCAGAAGGCAGGCUGACACUGAUGACCCAUGACUCAGCAAUGGCAUGUAAGGACAUGUGAUCCGAGACUUCAUGUUUGUGCUAGUAACUUUCCAUGCACAUAGGCUGAGGAUAUAAAAGUGGAGACUGUGACAUCACUUCUUAGCCUCUUUCCUGCUCCACAUUUCUGGAUUAUGAUUUCUAACAAAGAAGAGUUUAGAACAAUGGACUGAGGACCCCAAUAUUUGGGAUGAACCAGAGAGACUUAUUUCAAACUGGCAGAUUUAACAUCACUGCUAUUUACCUGAUCUGCAAACUGUGAAACCACCUGUAAUGUAUAUGAUUAAUUUUAACCUCUUAAUAACUCUUCCUUUUUUGUAUAUUAAUAAACCUUUAGGUUUUAGUUACUAA